UAGAAAGUCACACAAGCCGAAGCUCUUGGCCAAGUAGCCAGAGUCCACAGUUGAUGAACUAUUUGGAAGAAUUAGGCGAUGUGGCCUUGUUGGAGAAAGUGUGUCCCUGUUGGAGGAAUUGGGCUUUGAGAUUUCAAAGCCCACACCAGACCCAGUGUCUCUGCCUGUUACCUGUGGAUCAGGUUAUAAAGCUCUCAGCUACUGCUCCAGCACCAUGCCUGUCUGCUUCCCACCAUGAUGAUAAUGGACUCACCCUCUAAAACCCAACAGCACAGUCAGCCCUGAGCACUUCCAGCCCAAGGUUGCAAACACUUCCCCGGGCUCAUCUCAACGCUCCAGUCUCAGUCUCCUGUCACUUCGGGCCCCCUUUGCCCUCCUCUUCAGCAGCUCUCUUCAAGGUAAGUCUCCACCGAGCCUCCUCUUCCUCAUCCUCUUCAUCCCCUUCAUUCUCACCAGCUCCCUCCUCCUGCUCCCUGGUUCCUUUCUCUCCUCCUCCGCUUCUUUCUUUCUGGUUUCCUCUCCCCUCUGCUUCUCCUCCAGACCUUUGACACUCGCUCUGAAUGCCCCUCCCUGCUCUUCUCCACCGUGGUGCAGAGCCAAGGCUGGCGGGAAACUGGGGUCCCAAAGGGAGACACACAGAAGCUUCGGACCACGGAGGGUGACUGGGGCAGGAACUGUGGCAGUGGCAAAAGCCAAGGUGGCUGUGGAUUAUGAUCAUCAGUCACAUUUGCUGGAGAACUGGAGGAGUUAGUGGAGGGAGAAGGCACUCUGAAGGGAGAGAGUUGACGCUCUUCCACCUCAGAAGUCACCUGAAGAGUAAAUGCCUCUUGGUGAGAGCAGAAAAGAGACCACAGGCUAGAUAUCACCACCUGUGACACCCAAACUUGAAGACCUCUGUGUACAACUCCAAACCCUCAUAUACUAAAAACUCCAACUCUUUCCUGAAAUUGAUCAAUCUGUUCACUUGAUCCAAGAGAGAGGACCCUGAUCCAAAUGGUGACCAAUGAAGGGGAUAGAGAGAUGGCUCAGUGGUUAAACACACUGGCUGCUCUUUCAGAGGACCCAGGUUUGAUUACUAGCACUCUUGUGGCAGCUCACAACUGUCUCUAACUCCAGUUCCAUACAUACACUUAAUGGUGUCUUGGGACUGUCCACUCCCCUCUCAUCACAACCCCCUUCAUUUUUUCAGCCAACAGAACUGACAAAAACACAGAGAGACGCAUAGGCGACAAUAAAGACAACCAGGGUGGCCACCACACAGACUUAAACCGGGGGAUCUGGAGGCAUCUCAUCUGGAUCCUGUACAUGGAGAUUUGGGCUGCACCCAGCCUUUCCUGAGUGUCCUUUCUAGAAAGCAUCAUAAGCAGACUCACCUUUGGAGGAGAGAAAUCCAGGCAACUUUCGGUAAUCUCCCACUGAGGGUGGAAGUGGUGGGAGCCUCUGGGAUUGCAGGAGUUUCUGGGGCCCUAUAACACCUCAGGGUGUGUACCCUAGAAACUCUGUUCUCAGCAUCACUGCUGAGACUAGAGGCAGUCUGAGAACAUUGGCCUCAGUCUUUGGUAAUCUGACAGUGCCUCUAAACUGCUAAAAAUUGUCUACCAGAGAACACACAUGGACA